rnacentral:rRNA from 1 species
GGAUCAGUUGGUCGGUCGUGCCUCGGUGCGUACUGGUCAAAUUGAUUCCUACCUUCUGACGAACCACGAUGUCAUUAAUUUGGUGUCGUGGGAAAUCAGGACUGUUACUUUGAAAAAAUUAGAGUGUUUAAAGCAGGCUCGCGCUUGAAUACAUUAGCAUGGGAUAAUGAAAUAGGACGUUUGAUUCUAUUUUGUUGGUUUUCAAGACCGAAGUA